rnacentral:rRNA from 1 species
AAAACUUCGCAAUGCGUGCAAGCGUGACGAGGGGAUCCCAAGUGCCGAUGGUCUUUCUGAUCGUCGGCUUUUCAAGAGUUUAAAUCGCUCUUGGAAUAAGAGCUGGGUAAGACUGGUGCCAGCAGCCGCGGUAA